UACGUAGGUGACAAGCGUUGUCCGGAUUUACUGGGCGUAAAGAGCGCGCAGGCGGUCGUUCAAGUCGAGUGUGAAAGCCCCCGGCUCAACUGGGGAGGGUCACGCGAUACUGAUCGACUCGAAGGCAGGAGAGGGUAGUGGAAUUCCCGGUGUAGUGGUGAAAUGCGUAGAUAUCGGGAGGAACACCAGUGGCGAAGGCGACUACCUGGCCUGUUCUUGACGCUGAGGCGCGAAAGCGUGGGGAGCAAACAGG
rnacentral:rRNA from 1 species